CAUUUCAUCUCUCUGGAUGCAUUAACCUUAUCAUCAUUGCGAUGAGUCCGUGUUAAAGUCAAACAAGAAAAUGUCAAACUUCUGUCAGUUUCCUCACUUGCAUCUGGACAAAACCCAAAUGAGAGACUGUCUACCUAAGAAUAUAAAUGAACUGAAAGUGAUCACUAAGUUUCUCCACUUAGAAGCUGAAAUCUUGUUACUGCUGUUCAUUUAAAAAAAAAAAAAAAAGAAUUCCACGAGUACUCCUCCAGGAAGGGUAUAUAAAGGCGGGUGAGGAGGCCUCCGGCAGAUCACUGGGAAAUUUUGGCAUGAGCAAGGUGACCUAUAAGCCACAAACUUCUAGCAGAGUUACAGAACAACCGACUCCAAGCACCUCAGGGAGAAAAGAGAAGACCCCCUUUCAACUCGGGUCCAGAGACAGUGACACGGUAGCCAAGACAACUAUGAAAGCUAAAAGAUAUCCUCAAGGGAGUUUAAGAGAAGAGACCUCUUCCAGAGUUCCCAUCCCUUUAAUUAAUUCUAAGAAAACCAAAGGAUCAAUCCUAUUCAGCCAUUAUCACAAGCUGAAUGAAAAGCUGAAUCAAAAUGAACCCAAGCAGUCCCAAGAGAGUGUAGAAAAACCCACCACUUCAGAUGAAGAGCCGGGCAGCCAGAACUUCAGAGUGGAGCCAGAGGCCUCAAAUAUCUAUGAAAUCUCCAAAGUCUAGCCACUUUGAAAUGGCAACUACUUAGAGACCAAACUAAGCAUGAACAGGGGACAUGCAUGGUAAUGAAUAAAAUUAAAAUUCACCCUGUUGUGAAAAUUUGC
rnacentral:lncRNA from 1 species